CUUCCUUUCUCUACAAAUGGGUUUGUAAAUUUUCAAUGGCUGCAUCUUAAAAUGGUUUGAACUCAUCUGUAUCCUUCAGAAUCUCAAAGGGUUAGGUAGAAUUUCAAUGGUUCUUAUUCAUGCACCUGUAUCUGUAUGUAACAGCUGCAACCUAGGGUUCUUUGUAGUCUGAAGUACAUUUAUGGUGGAUCUGUUUACAGUUUGAUCACAGUCAUAAAUCUUAGAUUGUAGAUAUACUUUAAUGGUGUUGACAAGUUUUGUUACAGCACCAUGGGGACCAUAUUAAAGACUUGGUCUGUUCUUCUUUUGCAAACCAGAAUUUUUGUGUGUUUGAUAUUUGUAAACCUUACACUUCAAGACAUUAUUUGUUUUUCUACUAUAGCUCAAUAAAAAAGGUGACAUUGUUGAUGAGAAAAUCAAGAAGCUUAAUGUUGAGCUUAUUAGAUAUAAGGACCAAAUAAAGAAGACCAGGCCAGGACCUGCUCAAGAGGGUGUAAAAGCACGAGCUAUGAGGGUUCUAAAGCAAAGGAGAACGUAUGAAGGACAACGUGAUAUACUGUAUAAUCAGAUAUACAAUCUAGACCAAGUUUCAUUUGCUGCUGAGAGUAUCAAAGAUGCUCAACACACUAGCUUGAUUUCUGGAAACAAGCAUGGGCUUUGAGACUCAAGCUGAUGGGUGAUGGCUCCUUUAUUCUUUUUGCAUAUCUGACGAUGGUUUCUCCCUUCAGGUGAAAAGCAAGUAUUUGGCCUAUCUAUUAUUAUGCUAGAUAAUCACUGGACAUGGUUAAUGUGACCUAAAGAGUUGGGAACUUGGAUAUUAUUUGUUUUAGAAUAUAUGAUAGAAAAGGGUUUAUAU